GACGAACGCUGGCGGCGUGCUUAACACAUGCAAGUCGAACGGAAAGGCCCUGCUUGCAGGGUACUCGAGUGGCGAACGGGUGAGUAACACGUGGGUGAUCUGCCCUGCACUUCGGGAUAAGCCUGGGAAACUGGGUCUAAUACCGGCUAGGAGCCAUUUUUAGUGUGAUGGUUGGAAAGUUUUUUCGGUGUAGGAUGAGCUCGCGGCCUAUCAGCUUGUUGGUGGGGUAAUGGCCUACCAAGGCGGCGACGGGUAGCCGGCCUGAGAGGGUGGACGGCCACACUGGGACUGAGAUGCGGCCGCGACUCGUACGGGAGGGAGAAGUGGGGAAGAUUGCACAAGGGGCGCAAGGCUGAUGCAGCGAGGCCGCGUGGGGGAUGACGGUCUUCGGGUUGUAAACUACUUUCGCUAGGGACGAAGCAUGUUGUGACGGUACCUAGAGAAGAAGCACCGGCUAACUACGUG
rnacentral:rRNA from 1 species